ACACAUGCAAGUCGAACGAUGAAGCCGGAGCUUGCUCCGGUGGAUUAGUGGCGAACGGGUGAGUAACACGUGAGUAAUCUGCCCCUGACUCUGGGAUAAGCACUGGAAACGGUGUCUAAUACCGGAUACGAGCUGCGAAGGCAUCUUCAGCAGCUGGAAAGAACUUCGGUCAGGGAUGAACUCGCGUCCUAUCAGCUAGUUGGUGAGGUAACGGCCCACCAAGGCGACGACGGGUAGCCGGCCUGAGAGGGUGACCGGCCACACUGGGACUGAGACACGGCCCAGACUCCUACGGGAGGCAGCAGUGGGGAAUAUUGCACAAUGGGCGCAAGCCUGAUGCAGCAACGCCGCGUGAGGGAUGACGGCCUUCGGGUUGUAAACCUCUUUUAGUAGGGAAGAAGCGAAAGUGACGGUACCUACAGAAAAAGCACCGGCUAACUACGUGCCAGCAGCCGCGGUAAUACGUAGGGUGCAAGCGUUGUCCGGAAUUAUUGGGCGUAAAGAGCUCGUAGGCGGUUUGUCGCGUCUGCUGUGAAAAUCCGAGGCUCAACCUCGGACCUGCAGUGGGUACGGGCAGACUAGAGUGCGGUAGGGGAGAUUGGAAUUCCUGGUGUAGCGGUGGAAUGCGCAGAUAUCAGGAGGAACACCGAUGGCGAAGGCAGAUCUCUGGGCCGUUACUGACGCUGAGG
rnacentral:rRNA from 1 species